rnacentral:rRNA from 1 species
GGCUCAGCGUACAGGGAGCCGGAUACUUUGUUUCUGGGUGGAUGGGUGAAAAAAAGAGGAAUCUGCCUGGUAGUGGGGGAUAACGUUCCGAAAGGAACGCUAAUACCGCAUACGUCCUACGGGAGAAAGCAGGGGACCUUCGGGCCUUGCGCUAUCAGAUGAGCCUAGGUCGGAUUAGCUAGUUGGUGAGGUAAUGGCUCACCAAGGCGACGAUCCGUAACUGGUCUGAGAGGAUGAUCAGUCACACUGGAACUGAGACACGGUCCAGACUCCUACGGGAGGCAGCAGUGGGGAAUAUUGGACAAUGGGCGAAAGCCUGAUCCAGCCAUGCCGCGUGUGUGAAGAAGGUCUUCGGAUUGUAAAGCACUUUAAGUUGGGAGGAAGGGCAUUAACCUAAUACGUUAGUGUUUUGACGUUACCGACAGAAUAAGCACCGGCUAACUUCGUGCCAGCAGCCGCGGUAAUACGAAGGGUGCAAGCGUUAAUCGGAAUUACUGGGCGUAAAGCGCGCGUAGGUGGUUCGUUAAGUUGGAUGUGAAAGCCCCGGGCUCAACCUGGGAACUGCAUCCAAAACUGGCGAGCUAGAGUACGGUAGAGGGUGGUGGAAUUUCCUGUGUAGCGGUGAAAUGCGUAGAUAUAGGAAGGAACACCAGUGGCGAAGGCGACCACCUGGACUGAUACUGACACUGAGGUGCGAAAGCGUGGGGAGCAAACAGGAUUAGAUACCCUGGUAGUCCACGCCGUAAACGAUGUCAACUAGCCGUUGGGUUCCUUGAGAACUUAGUGGCGCAGCUAACGCAUUAAGUUGACCGCCUGGGGAGUACGGCCGCAAGGUUAAAACUCAAAUGAAUUGACGGGGGCCCGCACAAGCGGUGGAGCAUGUGGUUUAUUUCGAAGCAACGCGAAGAACCUUACCUGGCCUUGACAUGCUGAGACUUUCCAGAGAUGGAUUGGUGCCGUCGGGAACUCAGACACAGUGCUGCAUGCUGUCGUCAGCUCGUGUCGUGAGAUGUUGGUUAGUCCCGUACGAGCCGCAACCCUUGUCUAGUUACAGCACGUAAUGGUGGCACUCUAGGAACUGCGUGAACAACCGGAGAGGUGGGGGAUG